rnacentral:rRNA from 1 species
GAUGAACGCUGGCGGCGUGCCUAAUACAUGCAAGUCGAGCGAACGGACGAGAAGCUUGCUUCUCUGAUGUUAGCGGCGGACGGGUGAGUAACACGUGGAUAACCUACCUAUAAGACUGGGAUAACUUCGGGAAACCGGAGCUAAUACCGGAUAAUAUUUUGAACCGCAUGGUUCAAAAGUGAAAGACGGUCUUGCUGUCACUUAUAGAUGGAUCCGCGCUGCAUUAGCUAGUUGGUAAGGUAACGGCUUACCAAGGCAACGAUGCAUAGCCGACCUGAGAGGGUGAUCGGCCACACUGGAACUGAGACACGGUCCAGACUCCUACGGGAGGCAGCAGUAGGGAAUAUUCCGCAAUGGGCGCAAGCCUGACGGAGCAACGCCGCGUGAGUGAUGAAGGUCUUCGGAUCGUAAAACUCUGUUAUUAGGGAAGAACAUAUGUGUAAGUAACUGUGCACAUCUUGACGGUACCUAAUCAGAAAGCCACGGCUAACUACGUG